rnacentral:lncRNA from 1 species
CCUUGACAGUGUAUGUUGUUCUCUUCAGUAUGCAUCUACAGCAGAAGUUCUUUUGGUUUUUGUUUGAUAAUAAAGUCAGGAACCAGGAAGUGAAGAUCACUAGCUAUGGGACUCUAAUUGUACGCCUUUUUGGAACCCAGUAUUGCAUUUACAUCUGAGUUUAUGAGAUAAAUGUUAUUGCUUGAUUGAUAUUUGAAUAUCAUUCAGCCAAACCCGUUUGAUGAGGAUGAAUCUCCAAGAUCUACAUCAAGAAAGGGAAUUAAUAUUAGUUAGAAUUAAAGUAGGAUUAAUAUUACUUGGAAAUAAAUUAGGAUUAGUAUUUGUUGAAGUUGAAUUAUUAGUAGCUAAUUAGGUUAUAAGACAAUUAAAAUUAGAGUCAUAAUAGACUAUUAGAAUUUUAGUAGAGUUUGGAUUUCUUAGAGAAACCUAUAAAUAAGGUUAAUUGAUUUAAAUCAAGGUAUAUAUUGAUUGAUGAUUAAUAAUAAUAUGUUUUCUUGCAUACUUUGCAAUUCUUAAUAGUGAUACUUCAUUGAUUUUCUUCAAGAUGAGACUCCUAGAAGGCCUAAGUGCAACUCUAAGGUUCUAUCGUAUCUUCUCUUUUAUCUUUUUUCUCUAUAUUUCAUUUUAUUUUAUUUUGUUGUCAUAAACUUUAUCCCUUGCUCCUCUCCUUAGACCUUUGCCCACCUAUUUGAUUGUGGACAAUUAUCCUAGGGUUUUCCUAUAUCUAUUUGAUUGACGAUAUACUAGCAUUUUCCAAACUCACAUUGAUUGCCAAGGGAGACUAUGUACUAUGAUUAUUGAUGGAGGUAGUAGUUUCAACUUAGUUUCAAAGGAACUUGUUGAGAAACUUAAUCUAAAGUCAAAAGAGUAUCCAAAUCCCUAUCAAAUAGCAUGGGUAAAUGACACAUCUAUUUUGGUGAAUUCUCAUUGUCUAGUGACAUUUAAUUUUAGUAAUAAUUUUGAGUUAUUAGUAUGUUGUUAUGUUUUUCCAAUAAAAGUUGCCCAUAUUGUGCUUGGAAGGCCAUGGCUUUUUGAUGAAAGGAUCCAACAUGAUGGAUAUGAGAACACUUGCACACUUGUGUGCAAUGGGUGUAAGAAGAUCCUUCGUCCUAAAGGAAACUCCACACUUAAGCAAUUAGAGGGAAAAUUAACAUCCUUGAAACCUGAAGAGCCAUGAAAUACUCCCAUUAAGAAACAAUUUUUAGUUGCUAGGAAGGACGAAGAAAUGGUCAAUGAUGAAUCUAGAAUGCAAGAGGUGAUGAAACUAAUCCUAGAACAACUUGUAAUAGAGCUAAAUAAAAGUUGUUAAAGCUUUAAAAAAAACAAUGUUUGACUUUUCAAGACCAAAACAUUAUCAUGAUUGGUGGCAAACAUGAAGAAUCCUAUGAUGAUAUAAUAAGAAUUGCAGAAAUUUCUUUUGAAUAUAGGGAAUUCAAGAAACUUGUUCUUUUGUAAGAAGAGUUUAGGAAGCAAUUUGCCACAAACUUGUUGAUGACAUAUAAUUAUUUUGAGAACUAUCAACUUGUUUCACAAUAUUGGAAAAUCUUUUGAAGUUUAGAACUUGUUUCGCAUGAAAUUGAACAAGUUCAAGAGAUCUUGAGAUCUUAUCUUAUCAUGGUAAAGAGUUUUCUAAGAAAGAAAAGGUGGAAGACAUUGCUUAAAAUUUCAAUUGACUGUGGAAAAUCACUAAAACUCAAGGUCGAGGUUUUUUUUUCAAGAUGGGGGGAAUUGGUGAGGAUGAAUCUCCAAGAUGUACAUCAAGAAAGGGAACUAAUAUUAGUUGCAAUUAAAGUAUAAUUAGUAUUACUUAGAAUUAAAUUAGGAUUAGUAUUUAUUGGAGUUAAAUUAGGAGUAGUUAAUUAGGUUAUAAGACAAUUAGAAUUAGAGUCAAAAUAAGUUAUUAGAAUUUUAGUAGAUUUUGGAUUUCUUAGAGAAGCCUAUAAAUAAGGUUAAUUGAUAUAAACUAAGGUAUAUAUUGAUUGAUGAUUAAUAAUAAUACAUUUUCUUGCAUACUUUGCAAUUCUUAGUGGUGAGACUUUAUUGAUUUUCUUCUAGGUGAGACUCCUAAAAGGCCUUAGUAUGACUCUAAGAUUCUAU